rnacentral:rRNA from 1 species
UACAGAGGGUGCAAGCGUUAAUCGGAAUUACUGGGCGUAAAGCGUGCGUAGACGGUUAUUUAAGUCAGGUGUGAAAGCCCCGGGCUCAACCUGGGAAUUGCAUUCGAGACUGAAUAGCUAGGGUACGGUAGAGGGAAGUGGAAUUUCCGGUGUAGCGGUGAAAUGCGUAGAUAUCGGAAGGAACAUCAGUGGCGAAGGCGGCUAUCUGGACGGUUUCUGACGCUAAGACGCGAAAGCGUGGGGAGCAAACAGG